GACGAACGCUGGCGGCGUGCUUAACACAUGCAAGUCGAACGGAAGUAGCAAUACUUCAGUGGCGCACGGGUGAGGAACACGUAGCUCAUCUGCCCUCAAGUGUGGGAUAACGCUCCGAAAGGAGUGCUAAUACCGCAUAAGCUCCCGGAUUGCAGAGGUCUGGGAGAAAAGGAGUAAUUCGCUUGAGGAGGAGGCUGCGGCCCAUCAGGUAGUUGGUGCGGUAACGGCGCACCAAGCCGACGACGGGUA
rnacentral:rRNA from 1 species